ensembl:lncRNA
CAGAGCGAGGCUGGAUCCUGUUUCAGAGCUUCUGAGGACUCCACAAGGGAACUACCCUUUCCCUUGCCGAUGGGCGCGCCUGAGCCUAAGUUCUGGUGCGAAACCCUGCAGGGAAGACCCACUGCAACUGGGUGAGUUCCUCUCACGAGCCGACCUCCUGGGGUCCCCUCCCUUGGACCUUGUCCAGAAACGGAGACGAGCUCCAGGACAGGACGCUCCACUUGUCUUGCUGGACUGACAUCCACACACCGGCCCACAUUUCAUCCAUGGGUUACGAGGGUGGAAGUAACAGGCAGUGAGAG